AUACGGAAAUGGACUAACUAAUGAGUAUGACACCGUGUGCACACUCAAUGCCCAAGAUAGAUACAUUUUGUCAAAAGUCCACCUCGCAUCACUCGCAGCUGAUACACAUAUAGAAGCUGAGAUUGUCUCUGCCAUGUGCUUCAUCCUUAACUAGCAAAAGAUUAAAAGGUUUCAAGAAGAAGUAUACUUGUUGUAGAACAUAGCCAUUGGAAAUCAUCCAAAUGGGAAAUUCUUACAACCUAAAAGCAAUAAGCCAUUCAGGGUGGAAGACUACCCAAUGUUUAUUCACUUCUUGGAGCUAAAAAAAUUAGCAUCACAUCCACAUGUAAGUUUUCAUUUGUAAAACUUCUUAGUACCAUUCUUUACUUAUAUGGCAAAUAAAAUAAAACACUGUUCAAUGUGGGCAUGCUUCAGAUUUUUGCACCUGUUUGCCAUUCACAACAUUGGUGGUUAUGGGUGGCUGAUACAAGAAA